UACGUAGGCAGCAAGCGUUGUUCGGAGUUACUGGGCGUAAAGGGUGUGUAGGCGGUUGUUUUAAGUUUGGUGUGAAAUCUCCCCGGCUCAACUGGGAGGGUGCGCCGAAUACUGAAUGACUAGAGUGCGGGAGAGGAAAGUGGAAUUCCUGGUGUAGCGGUGAAAUGCGUAGAUAUCAGGAGGAACACCGGUGGUGUAGACGGCUUUCUGGACCGUAACUGACGCUGAGACACGAAAGCGUGGGUAGCAAACAGG
rnacentral:rRNA from 1 species